rnacentral:lncRNA from 1 species
UAGCUAGGGCACCUUGAGACAAAUCAUUAACUUUCUUUUGGAUUUGAUAUAAUUUUGCCCCAUUUGUUUGGUCAUACCUGUCUUCCAACUCCUUCCAAAGCUCAUGAGAAUUGUUAACAUAUUCCACACUGUCCGAUAUAUCCUUGGAUAAAGAAUUUAGAAUCCACGAAAAGGUAAAUUUUCAUCAAAUUUCUCACAGUUCCCGUCAAUGAAGCACAAUUUAUUCUUAAUCGAUAAAGCUCUCA